AACGAACGCUGGCGGCAGGCUUAACACAUGCAAGUCGAGCGCCCCGCAAGGGGAGCGGCAGACGGGUGAGUAACGCGUGGGAAUCUACCCAUCUCUACGGAAUAACGCAUGGAAACGUGUGCUAAUACCGUAUACGUCCUUCGGGAGAAAGAUUUAUCGGAGAUGGAUGAGCCCGCGUUGGAUUAGCUAGUUGGUGGGGUAAAGGCCUACCAAGGCGACGAUCCAUAGCUGGUCUGAGAGGAUGAUCAGCCACACUGGGACUGAGACACGGCCCAGACUCCUACGGGAGGCAGCAGUGGGGAAUAUUGGACAAUGGGCGCAAGCCUGAUCCAGCCAUGCCGCGUGAGUGAUGAAGGCCCUAGGGUUGUAAAGCUCUUUCACCGGUGAAGAUAAUGACGGUACCGGAGAAGAAGCCCCGGCUAACUUCGUGCCAGCCGCCGCGGUAA
rnacentral:rRNA from 2 species